rnacentral:lncRNA from 1 species
AUGAAAAAGCCUUCGAGCCCACUGUCAAAUGCUGCAAAUCCUGCGUUGACUGUCUUUCAACCUCACUGUGGCAAUUUAUUCCCACUCUUGUGCCCACCUCGACCCUUCAGACAGAGGGACGCCUUAGGCUCACCAAGGAAAAUGGCAAAUAGUGGAAAGCUGAAGUCCCCAAGGAUAAUGACAUGGUCUUCUCUUUCUGUUGUCUCCAUGGUGACAAGGACUCUGCAUCUUGUGUCUGAGAUUUGCUAUGGACUGGAUCUUAUAUCCAAGGUUUUCUCUGAUGACAAGGAUGAAACUUUCCUGCUUUAGGACGGAAAGAAGACUUAUGAACAAGGUGAGACCUGCUAUAGAAAAUAUGGACAGUGGCAAUUUCCGUAGUCUGAUGUGAAAUGAUCAUGACGUGGACCAGACAAAAGUCAAAGGAAAGUAAGUAUUUUUGUAGAAAAAAAGGAAUAGUUUUGAAGAACAAAGGAGUGAUAUUCGGAAUGAGGGCGUCUGUUUGGAAGAAUAAUAUUUUUCUACUAAAUAUUGUCCACUGUCUCAAACAACCCAGUGUCUUUUAGCCAUGUGACCUCUUGAGAGUUCCUUAUAGAUUUCUUGGAAGGAUGAAAUUAUUUUAUAUAAAGCAUUUGGAAU